UACGGGGGGAGCAAGCGUUGUUCGGAUUUACUGGGCGUAAAGGGCUCGUAGGCGGCCAACUAAGUCGGACGUGAAAUCCCCAGGCUCAACCUGGGAACUGCGUCCGAUACUGGAUGGCUUGAAUUCGGGAGAGGGAUGCAGAAUUCCAGGUGUAGCGGUGAAAUGCGUAGAUAUCUGGAGGAACACCGGUGGCGAAGGCGGCUACCUGGCCCAACAUUGACACUGAGACCCGAAAGCGUGGGGAUCAAACAGG
rnacentral:rRNA from 1 species